ensembl:lncRNA
GUUCAUGAGCUCAUGCCUGAAAGUUCUGGAGUGAUGAGAUGUUAAUAGCAUCAGAAGUUUUUCUUCUGUGGCCCUAAGGACAAGAUAGAACAGUUGGAAUUCACAAUAGAUCUUCAAGAAGGAGUGGAUACGAAAUGGCAGUAUGAAGGUAAAUAUAAAAGACUUAUUUCUCUUAAUUUCUCUAAAAACCUUACAAAUGUUUAAAGCAAAAAUUAUAAUUGUGGAAUCAAUAAUAAUAUAUUAGGAGUUCCUGUUGUGGCUUAGCAGGUUACGAGCCCGACUGGUAUCCAUGAGGAUAUGGGUUUGAUGCCUGGCUUCACUCAGGGCAUUAAGGAUCCAGCGUUGUCAUGAGCUGUGGUGUAGGUUACAGACGUGUCUCGCAUCCCACAUUGCUGUGGCUGUGGCGUAGUCCGGUGGCUGUAGCUCCAAUUUAACCCUGGGAACUUCUAUAUGCUAUAGGUUCGCCCCUAAAAAGCAAAAACAAAAAAGCAUAUAUAUAUACUCAUAUCAUACAUGGUAAAUAUAGCAUAAGAGGCAGAGUGAUACAGUAUUAAUUUGCAAAAUAUCUUGAGAAGCUGAAAAGACAAUAAUAUAUAUGGUAAGUGCUAUAAAAAAUAAUUCAAAGUAGUUCCUAUUGUGGUGCCGUGGAAACGAAUCUGACUAGCCAUGUGGAUGCGGGUUGGAUCCCUGGCCUUAAUCAGUGGGGCAGGGAUCCAGUGUUGCCAUGAGCUGUGGUGUUGGUCAUCGCAUGGUUUGUAUCUGAGCUGUAGCUGCUGGCCUAUACCACAGCCACAGCCACAGCAACUCGGGAUCUGAGCCGUGUCUGCAACUUACACCAAUGCUCGCAGCAACGCUGGAUCCUUAACCCACUGAGCAGGUCCAGGGAUUGAACCUGCGUCCUCAUGAAUGCUAGUCAGAUUCAUUUCCUCUGAGCCAUGAGGGGAACUCCCAAUAAUUUCUCAUUUAAAUAUCUCUGCUUACUAAAGUGACAUUUUAGCUGCCAAGCAUUGCUGGUAAGACAAUUCUCAAUUUGAUUUCAAUUGGGUAACUACCUGAUAAAAAAAAUUAAUAGUCUUAAGGAGUUCCUCCUGUGGCACAGUGGGUUAAAGACCCAGAGUUGCCACAGUUGUGGCAUAGGUGCAGCUGUAGAUUGAAUUUAGUCCCUGGCCCAGAAACUUAUAUUUCUGUGAAUGCUAGUCUUCAGAGGAAUAUAGCAUUCUGGAGGCUCAUUAUUUACUAUUUAAAAUUACUCAAUACAUGAAAAAUAAGGAACCCUUAUUGUUACUCAAGGGAUGAUCAGUGAAGAUUAUCCCAGAGAUGGCCUAGAUAUGUAAAUUAGCAAAGAGUUUUAUUGUUGUUCUAUAACAGGUAAAAAUUUCAAGGCUUCUAUUAUAACUGUGUUCAAGGAUGAUAAGAAAAUAUGUGACUAAAAAAGGAAAUUUCAGCAAAAUGCUUAAACUAAGAAGGAACCAAAUGGACAGUUUGGAACUGAAAAAAUGCAAUAUCUGAAAUAAAAAUUAACUGGAUUAGCUUAGUAACAGAAGGACCAGUGAACCUAAAGUUAGCUAAAUAGAAGGAAAGAGAGAAAUAGGUAUUUUUAAAAGGUAAAUAUAGCCUCAGGGGAAGCUGUGAGAUAGUAUCCAUAUCAGAAGUUCCAGCACAUUUGCUGUACAGCAGAAGUUGACCGAACAAUCAUCUAUAAUAAAGAAAGAAACCAAACGAAACCAAAAAAAGGUCUGGUGUACAUGUAAAGGUAGUUCCAGAAAGGGAGAAAUAGAAAAUGGGGUCGGAGAACAUGUGAAGAAUGACUACAAGUUUGUCAUAUUUUGUGGAAGACAAAUGUAUGAUAGUCCAGUGAAAGUAAGCAAAUAAAUACAAAGAGAAUAAAUACUUGGGUCCAUUAUAAUCAAAUUGCUGAAGAAUCAAAGGAAAAAAACAUUGAAAACUGCAUACAUACAUUUUAACAAAUGGACGAAUCAUAUACAAGUGAAUAACCUUUCAAAACACUGACUUUUCAUUAGAAAUAACAGAAGCUAGAAGACCAGCAAGAUUAAAAUGCUCAAAGAAGAAUAAAGCCAAUGCAGAAUUAUAUAUUAGUGAAAACAUCUUCCUGCAAUGAAAAUGAGGGAGUUCUUUUGUGACUGCAGUGGUGUGGGUUCAGUCCCAGGCCUAGGAACUUGCACAUGCUGUGAGCAUGGCAAAAAAGAAAAUUAAAAAAAAGUGAAAUAAGGACAUUUUCAGAUAAAAGGAAAAUUAGUAGAUUUUACAAUAGGGAAUGCUGUAGAAAUUUCAGGCUGAGAGGAAAUAUAGUAUGACAUGAAUGUUGAUAAAUAGUAUGUAAAUGAUUAAAAGUAAAUAUUUCCCAUUGAGAACUAUGUCUAGAUACUCAUGUCGCAACAGAAGAAAGGGUGGGGGAAAAAACUGUAACUGCAAUGUAUACAUCUAAGGAUAACCUGACCCCCUUGCUGUACAGUGGGAAAAAAAAAAAAAAGUAAAUAUUUCCUUUUUAAUCUCUUUAAAAGUAUAUGCUUAAAACAAAAGUUAUAACAUUGUAUUUUGUGGUUAAUAGCAUGUAUAUGUGGCACAGCAUAAAGUAUGACAACUGAAACAUUCGAGUGUUCAGCAGAAGAUUGGCAGGCAGAAGAAAGGAACGAUGACCUUUUGAAGAUAAGGCAAUUAAAUGAUCCAGUCUGGGAGUUCCCUUGUGGCCCAGUGGGUUAAGGCUCUGGCUUAGUCACUGCUGUGGCUUUUGUUAUAGCUGCGGUGCAAGUUCAGUUCCUGGCCUGGGAACCUUCGCAUGCCUCGGGUGUGCCCCACCUCCAAAAAAAUUAUCUAGCCUUAGGAGCAGAACAAAAAAAGAAUGAAGAAAAAUGACUAGAAAGAGUUCCCAUCAUGGCUCAGCAGUUAAUGAACCCGACUAGCAUCCACGAGGAUGCUAGUUCGAUCCCUAGUCUCGCUCAGUGGGUUAAGGAUCUGGCGUUGCCUAGAUCUGUGGUAUAGGUUGCAGCUGUGGCUUGGAUCCUGUGUUGCUGUGGUGUAGGCUGGUGGCUAUAGCUCUUAUUGGAUCCCUAGCUUGGGAAUUUCCAUGUGCCUUGGGUGCAGCCCUAACAAGACAAAAAGAAAAAAAGAAAAUAAAAA